ensembl:snRNA U6 U6 spliceosomal RNA
GUGCUCACUUCAGCAGCAUAUACACUGAAAUUGGAACAAUACAGAGAAGAUUAGUAUGGCCUCUGCACAAGGAUGACAUACAAAUUCAUGAGGUGUAAAAAAAAAAU